rnacentral:rRNA from 1 species
CCUACGGGUGGCAGCAGUCGAGAAUCAUUCACAAUGGGGGAAACCCUGAUGGUGCGACGCCGCGUGGGGGAAUGAAGGUCUUCGGAUUGUAAACCCCUGUCAUGUGGGAGCAAAUUAAAAAGAUAGUACCACAAGAGGAAGAGACGGCUAACUCUGUGCCAGCAGCCGCGGUAAUACAGAGGUCUCAAGCGUUGUUCGGAAUCACUGGGCGUAAAGCGUGCGUAGGCUGUUUCGUAAGUCGUGUGUGAAAGGCGCGGGCCCAACCCGCGGACGGCACCUGAUACUGCGAGGACAGAGUAAAUGAAGGGGGAACCGGAAUUCUCGGUGUAGCAGUGAAAUGCGUAGAUAUCGAGAGGAACACUCGUGGCGAAGGCGGGUUCCUGGACAUUAACUGACGCUGAGGCACGAAGGCCAGGGGAGCGAAAGGGAUUAGAUACCCGGGUAGUC